rnacentral:rRNA from 1 species
UAAACUACGAUUAGAUACCCUAUUAUUUUGAUUGUUAAUAUUUCCUGGGUAGUAACAGUUAUGGUCUUUAAACCCAAAGAAUUUGGCGGUGUUUUAUUCCUUUUAGAGGAACUUGUCCCGUGAUCGAUAGUCCACGUUUUAUCUUGCUUGAUUUUAUGAUAUGUAUAUCUCCGUUAUAAGUUUAUUUUUUUAGAAUAAUUUACUUGAUAAUUUAUUAGUUAAUAUUUCAGGUCAAGGUGCAGUUUAUAAUUAAGUGGUGAUGAGUUACAAUAUUUUUAGUAUAUGAAUUUAUAUUUGAUAAUUAUAAUGAAGGUGGAUUUAAUAGUAAUUUUAUAUAUAAAAUUAAAUUGAUUAUGGCUCUAAAAUAAGCACACAUCG